rnacentral:tmRNA from 1 species
GGGGAUGACUGGUUUCGACGCUGGUUACAAACCCUGCGGUGCAUGUCGAGAUCGCUUGGUAUCUCGUAAAUAAAACCCUGCAAACAUUUAGUCGCAAACGACGAAAACUACGCACUAGCGGCCUAAAUCCCGCUUACACUGAGCACCAGAUGCCUGUAAAUGGUUGCAAAGUGGCACGCAGAACAGGAUCGUGUGGAACUCUCGCUCGUGGGUGAAGCACUAAAAUAAAUCGAGAUCGCCCUAUACACCCUGACUUUCGGGUCGUUGUGGGUUAAAACAAUAGAAAGAUCUAAACAUGUAGAGCCAAUGGCAGAGGACUGACGGACGGGGGUUCGACUCCCCCCAUCUCCACCA